rnacentral:rRNA from 1 species
AGCGAACGCUGGCGGCAGGCUUAACACAUGCAAGUCGAGCGGGCACUUCGGUGUCAGCGGCAGACGGGUGAGUAACACGUGGGAACAUACCCUUUGGUUCGGAAUAACGCUGGGAAACUAGCGCUAAUACCGGAUACGCCCUUUUGGGGAAAGGCUUGCUGCCGAAGGAUCGGCCCGCGUCUGAUUAGCUAGUUGGUGGGGUAAUGGCCUACCAAGGCGACGAUCAGUAGCUGGUCUGAGAGGAUGAUCAGCCACACUGGGACUGAGACACGGCCCAGACUCCUACGGGAGGCAGCAGUGGGGAAUAUUGGACAAUGGGCGCAAGCCUGAUCCAGCCAUGCCGCGUGAGUGAUGAAGGCCUUAGGGUUGUAAAGCUCUUUUGUCCGGGACGAUAAUGACGGUACCGGAAGAAUAAGCCCCGGCUAACUUCGUG